GUGUCAGCAGCCGCGGUAAUACGUAGGGUGCGAGCGUUAAUCGGAAUUACUGGGCGUAAAGCGUGCGCAGGCGGCUUCGCAAGUCAGACGUGAAAUCCCCGGGCUUAACCUGGGAAUGGCGUUUGAAACUACGGAGCUGGAGUGUGGCAGAGGGAGGUAGAAUUCCACGUGUAGCGGUGAAAUGCGUAGAUAUGUGGAGGAAUACCGAUGGCGAAGGCAGCCUCCUGGGCCAACACUGACGCUCAUGCACGAAAGCGUGGGGAGCAAACAGGAUUAGAUACCCUGGUAGUCC
rnacentral:rRNA from 1 species